AAAUUGAAGAGUUUGAUCAUGGCUCAGAUUGAACGCUGGCGGCAGGCCUAACACAUGCAAGUCGAGCGGUAGCACAGAGAGCUUGCUCUCGGGUGACGAGCGGCGGACGGGUGAGUAAUGUCUGGGAAACUGCCUGAUGGAGGGGGAUAACUACUGGAAACGGUAGCUAAUACCGCAUAACGUCGCAAGACCAAAGUGGGGGACCUUCGGGCCUCAUGCCAUCAGAUGUGCCCAGAUGGGAUUAGCUAGUAGGUGGGGUAAUGGCUCACCUAGGCGACGAUCCCUAGCUGGUCUGAGAGGAUGACCAGCCACACUGGAACUGAGACACGGUCCAGACUCCUACGGGAGGCAGCAGUGGGGAAUAUUGCACAAUGGGCGCAAGCCUGAUGCAGCCAUGCCGCGUGUAUGAAGAAGGCCUUCGGGUUGUAAAGUACUUUCAGCGAGGAGGAAGGCAUUAAGGUUAAUAACCUUGGUGAUUGACGUUACUCGCAGAAGAAGCACCGGCUAACUCCGUGCCAGCAGCCGCGGUAAUACGGAGGGUGCAAGCGUUAAUCGGAAUUACUGGGCGUAAAGCGCACGCAGGCGGUCUGUCAAGUCGGAUGUGAAAUCCCCGGGCUCAACCUGGGAACUGCAUUCGAAACUGGCAGGCUAGAGUCUUGUAGAGGGGGGUAGAAUUCCAGGUGUAGCGGUGAAAUGCGUAGAGAUCUGGAGGAAUACCGGUGGCGAAGGCGGCCCCCUGGACAAAGACUGACGCUCAGGUGCGAAAGCGUGGGGAGCAAACAGGAUUAGAUACCCUGGUAGUCCACGCCGUAAACGAUGUCGACUUGGAGGUUGUGCCCUUGAGGCGUGGCUUCCGGAGCUAACGCGUUAAGUCGACCGCCUGGGGAGUACGGCCGCAAGGUUAAAACUCAAAUGAAUUGACGGGGGCCCGCACAAGCGGUGGAGCAUGUGGUUUAAUUCGAUGCAACGCGAAGAACCUUACCUACUCUUGACAUCCAGAGAACUUAGCAGAGAUGCUUUGGUGCCUUCGGGAACUCUGAGACAGGUGCUGCAUGGCUGUCGUCAGCUCGUGUUGUGAAAUGUUGGGUUAAGUCCCGCAACGAGCGCAACCCUUAUCCUUUGUUGCCAGCGGUCCGGCCGGGAACUCAAAGGAGACUGCCAGUGAUAAACUGGAGGAAGGUGGGGAUGACGUCAAGUCAUCAUGGCCCUUACGAGUAGGGCUACACACGUGCUACAAUGGCAUAUACAAAGAGAAGCGACCUCGCGAGAGCAAGCGGACCUCAUAAAGUAUGUCGUAGUCCGGAUUGGAGUCUGCAACUCGACUCCAUGAAGUCGGAAUCGCUAGUAAUCGUAGAUCAGAAUGCUACGGUGAAUACGUUCCCGGGCCUUGUACACACCGCCCGUCACACCAUGGGAGUGGGUUGCAAAAGAAGUAGGUAGCUUAACCUUCGGGAGGGCGCUUACCACUUUGUGAUUCAUGACUGGGGUGAAGUCGUAACAAGGUAACCGUAGGGGAACCUGCGGUUGGAUCACCUCCUUACCUUAAAGAA
rnacentral:rRNA from 1 species